UCGUAACAAGGUCUCCGUAGGUGAACCUGCGGAGGGAUCAUUACACAAAUAUGAAGGCGGGCUGGAACCUCUCGGGGGUUACAGCCUUGCUGAAUUAUUCACCCUUGUCUUUUGCGUACUUCUUGUUUCCUUGGUGGGUUCGCCCACCACUAGGACAAACAUAAACCUUUUGUAAUUGCAAUCAGCGUCAGUAACAAAUUAAUAAUUACAACUUUCAACAACGGAUCUCUUGGUUCUGGCAUCGAUGAAGAACGCAGCGAAAUGCGAUAAGUAGUGUGAAUUGCAGAAUUCAGUGAAUCAUCGAAUCUUUGAACGCACAUUGCGCCCUUUGGUAUUCCAAAGGGCAUGCCUGUUCNAGCGUCAUUUGUACCCUCAAGCUUUGCUUGGUGUUGGGCGUCUUGUCUCUAGCUUUGCUGGAGACUCGCCUUAAAGUAAUUGGCAGCCGGCCUACUGGUUUCGGAGCGCAGCACAAGUCGCACUCUCUAUCAGCAAAGGUCUAGCAUCCAUUAAGCCUUUUUUUCAACUUUUGACCUCGGA
rnacentral:rRNA from 1 species